GACGAACGCUGGCGGCGUGCCUAAUACAUGCAAGUUGAGCGCUGAAGGUUGGUACUUGUACCAACUGGAUGAGCAGCGAACGGGUGAGUAACGCGUGGGGAAUCUGCCUUUGAGCGGGGGACAACAUUUGGAAACGAAUGCUAAUACCGCAUAAAAACUUUAAACACAAGUUUUAAGUUUGAAAGAUGCAAUUGCAUCACUCAAAGAUGAUCCCGCGUUGUAUUAGCUAGUUGGUGAGGUAAAGGCUCACCAAGGCGAUGAUACAUAGCCGACAUGAGAGGGUGAUCGGCCACAUUGAGACUGAGACAAGGCACAAACACCGUCGAGGAGGAGCAGUAGGGAAUCUUCGGAACAGGAGGCGAGUCUGACCGAGUAACACCGGGUGAGAGCAGAAGGUUAUCGGAUCGUAAAACUCUGUUGGUAGAGAAGAAAGUUGGUGAGAGUGGAAAGCUCAUCAAGUGACAGUAACUACCCAGAAAGGGACGGCUAACUACGUG
rnacentral:rRNA from 1 species